rnacentral:other from 1 species
CUCGUCUGAGGGGACGCGAGGAUCACCCUCGUCGUCGCUUCGGCCACUGCGUCGGGCUGGGCCCUGACAAGCCGCCCGAGGAAAGAGGCUCGGAGUCUGGCCCGGACCCCGGCGAUUGCCGCCCACUUCUCUUCCUUCUGGUCUCACGAGCGGUUUCCCGCCUCGCACCUCCACCUCUGGACUUGCCUUUCCUUCUCUCUCCGCGUGUGGAGGGAGCCAGCGCUUAGGCCGGAGAGAGCCGGGGGGCUGCCCGCCGUGAAGGCACGCGGGGACCGAUUCACCAUG